GGGCUCAUGGCCUAAUGGUAAGGCGUUAGAUUUCGGCUCUACAUAGACCAUCUCUAAAGAUUGCAGGUUCGAUCCCUGCUGAGCUCG